CCUUACCUACCCUUGACAUCCUCGGAACUUGUCAGAGAUGAUUUGGUGCCUUCGGGAACCGAGUGACAGGUGCUGCAUGGCUGUCGUCAGCUCGUGUCGUGAGAUGUUGGGUUAAGUCCCGUAACGAGCGCAACCCUCGUCCUUAGUUGCCAGCGAGUCAAGUCGGGAACUCUAAGGAGACUGCCGGUGAUAAACCGGAGGAAGGUGGGGAUGAUGUCAAGUCAUCAUGGCCCUUACGGGUAGGGCUACACACGUGCUACAAUGGGCAGUACAAAGGGUUGCCAAGCCGCGAGGUGGAGCUAAUCCCAGAAAACUGCUCGUAGUCCGGAUUGGAGUCUGCAACUCGACUCCAUGAAGUUGGAAUCGCUAGUAAUCGCGAAUCAGCAUGUCGCGG
rnacentral:rRNA from 1 species